AUGAACGCUAGCUACAGGCUUAACACAUGCAAGUCGAGGGGCAUCAGGAAGAAAGCUUGCUUUCUUUGCUGGCGACCGGCGCACGGGUGAGUAACACGUAUCCAACCUGCCCUUUACUCGGGGAUAGCCUUUCGAAAGAAAGAUUAAUACCCGAUGGCAUAAUGAUUCCGCAUGGUUUCAUUAUUAAAGGAUUCCGGUAAAGGAUGGGGAUGCGUUCCAUUAGGUUGUUGGUGAGGUAACGGCUCACCAAGCCUUCGAUGGAUAGGGGUUCUGAGAGGAAGGUCCCCCACAUUGGAACUGAGACACGGUCCAAACUCCUACGGGAGGCAGCAGUGAGGAAUAUUGGUCAAUGGGCGCUAGCCUGAACCAGCCAAGUAGCGUGAAGGAUGAAGGCUCUAUGGGUCGUAAACUUCUUUUAUAUAAGAAUAAAGUGCAGUAUGUAUACUGUUUUGUAUGUAUUAUAUGAAUAAGGAUCGGCUAACUCCGUGCCAGCAGCCGCGGUAAUACGGAGGAUCCGAGCGUUAUCCGGAUUUAUUGGGUUUAAAGGGAGCGUAGGUGGACUGGUAAGUCAGUUGUGAAAGUUUGCGGCUCAACCGUAAAAUUGCAGUUGAUACUGUCAGUCUUGAGUACAGUAGAGGUGGGCGGAAUUCGUGGUGUAGCGGUGAAAUGCUUAGAUAUCACGAAGAACUCCGAUUGCGAAGGCAGCUCACUGGACUGCAACUGACACUGAUGCUCGAAAGUGUGGGUAUCAAACAGGAUUAGAUACCCUGGUAGUCCACACAGUAAACGAUGAAUACUCGCUGUUUGCGAUAUACAGUAAGCGGCCAAGCGAAAGCAUUAAGUAUUCCACCUGGGGAGUACGCCGGCAACGGUGAAACUCAAAGGAAUUGACGGGGGCCCGCACAAGCGGAGGAACAUGUGGUUUAAUUCGAUGAUACGCGAGGAACCUUACCCGGGCUUAAAUUGCAGUGGAAUGAUGUGGAAACAUGUCAGUGAGCAAGCACCGCUGUGAAGGUGCUGCAUGGUUGUCGUCAGCUCGUGCCGUGAGGUGUCGGCUUAAGUGCCAUAACGAGCGCAACCCUUAUCUUUAGUUACUAACAGGUCAUGCUGAGGACUCUAGAGAGACUGCCGUCGUAAGAUGUGAGGAAGGUGGGGAUGACGUCAAAUCAGCACGGCCCUUACGUCCGGGGCUACACACGUGUUACAAUGGGGGGUACAGAAGGCAGCUAGCGGGUGACCGUAUGCUAAUCCCAAAAUCCUCUCUCAGUUCGGAUCGAAGUCUGCAACCCGACUUCGUGAAGCUGGAUUCGCUAGUAAUCGCGCAUCAGCCACGGCGCGGUGAAUACGUUCCCGGGCCUUGUACACACCGCCCGUCAAGCCAUGGGAGCCGGGGGUACCUGAAGUACGUAACCGCAAGGAUCGUCCUAGGGUAAAACUGGUGACUGGGGCU
rnacentral:rRNA from 1 species